GUUUGUCACGACUUGUGCGGUAUUUACUGUCUUUCCGAACGCUCAGGGUCACGUUACUGUUGCAAGGCAGUCAAACGCAGCAGCACAAGUGUAACAACCAUGUAGGAGUUUUCUUUCAUCAACAGAACUGCUGGACUACAAAUUUUUUAACAAACUGGUGGCAUCACCACAGACUGCACAACUGAAGUGAAUAGAUUCUCGGCACAUGAAGCAUAUAGUUGGGAGGUACAGAGUGAGACCAACUUGGAAUUGGCUGCGUUGGUGAACUACAUCACACCAGUCAGAUUCAAGAGCUUCGAGGAUGCGCACACUUCAAGAAGGUGUCGCCUUGCCAAGUCCAGAAAGACUGAAAGGGAAUAUAUUGAUAUAGAACAAGAAAAAGGCGGCAGCAAAAG